GCAGGGAUUACAGGCAUGAACCACCACACCCAGCCAUUUUUUGUUUUGGGGUGUUUUUUAGUGGGUUGGUGCUCAUUUGAAAUGAGCAAAAGGGCAGGGGAGUGAGGAUGGGGCCAAGCAUGGCUGCCACACCUAGACCUCACCGCUUCCUCUGUGGUGUGUGGCAUGAGGUCCCUCCUCCCCACUGACACCUGAGAUGUCCACAGCACCUGAGAAUGUUCGACACACCAUAAACAUCAGCCAUUGUCACAGCGGUCCUCAGGACAUGGAUGAAGAGCUUCCUGGGCCACAGCGGGUGUGCUCCGUGCUCCUCUGCAGGUCACACUUUGUUUUCACAUAGUCGGAUGUGCUAUGAAGCCAGCCAUAAAGUUCAGGAUGACCAAGAAUAUAAUUUGAAAAUGAAUUUGUUUACUGUCCUUAAUGAACACAAUAACCAACAACUCCAGAACGUACGUUAUUUUCAAGGGCACGUCAGAUAUUAACCGAAAUAGAUCAUAUGCUGAGCCAUAAGGUAAGUCUCAAUACAUUUCAAAAAGACUUAAAUUUCAUAGACAAUAUUCUCUCUACGUGGAAGUAAAUUAGAAAUCAGUAAAUGAGAGAUACAUGUAAAAUCCACAAGUACUUUCUACAGCAGCACAUAGACUAAUAUUGAAAUAAUGCAGAGAUUAGCCUGACCCUUGUACAAGGAUG